GUUGAACGCUGGCGGCAUGCCUAACACAUGCAAGUCGAGCGGAUAGAGGAAGCUUUCGCCUGUAUGCAGCUGCGGGCGGGUGGGUGAUUCCUAGGAGUAUGCCUUGUAUUUGAGAAUAACGUCCGUAAAGGGGAGCUGAGACAACAUCCGACCUGAUGGUGAAAGUGAUGGAUCUACGGACCUCGCGCGAUCAGAUGAGCCUAGUUCGGAUUAGCUAGUUGGUGAGGUAAGGGCCUACCAAGGCGACGAUCCGUAGCUAGUCUGAGAGGAUGAUCAGUCACACUGGAACUGAGACACGGUCCAGACUCCUACGGGAGGCAGCAGUGGGGAAUCUUGCACAAUGGGCGAAAGCCUGACCGAGCAACGCCGCGUGUGUGAAGAAGGUCUUCGGAUCGUAAAGCUCUGUAAGUUGGGAGGAAGGGAAGUAAGUUAAUCUCUUCCUGUCUUGACGUUACCAACAGAAUAAGCCACGGCUAACUUCGUG
rnacentral:rRNA from 1 species